CCAGACUCCUACGGGAGGCAGCAGUGGGGGAUAUUGCACAAUGGGGGGAACCCUGAUGCAGCGACGCCGCGUGGGUGAAGGAGUAUUUCGGUAUGUAAAGCCCUAUCGGCAGGGAAGAAGCAAGACGGUACCUGACUAAGAAGCCCCGGCUAACUACGUGCCAGCAGCCGCGGUAAUACGUAGGGGGCGAGCGUUAUCCGGAUUCACUGGGUGUAAAGGGAGCGUAGACGGCCAAGCAAGCCAGGGGUGAAAGCCCGGGGCCCAACCCCGGGACUGCCCUUGGAACUGCAUGGCUGGAGUGCGGGAGGGGCAGGCGGAAUUCCUGGUGUAGCGGUGAAAUGCGUAGAUAUCAGGAGGAACACCAGUGGCGAAGGCGGCCUACUGGGCUUUAACUGACGCUGAAGCACGAAAGCGUGGGUAGCAAACAGGAUUAGAUACCCUGGUAA
rnacentral:rRNA from 1 species